UAGUGUUACAACUCUUUGAGAAUUUGCCUAGCAGGUUUUCAGGGUUUUACUGGAAAGCCUCU
ensembl:snRNA U7 U7 small nuclear RNA